GACGAACGCUGGCGGCGUGCUUAACACAUGCAAGUCGAACGGAAAGGCCCUGCUUUUGUGGGGUGCUCGAGUGGCGAACGGGUGAGUAACACGUGAGUAACCUGCCCUUGACUUUGGGAUAACUUCAGGAAACUGGGGCUAAUACCGGAUAGGAGCUCCUGCUGCAUGGUGGGGGUUGGAAAGUUUCGGCGGUUGGGGAUGGACUCGCGGCUUAUCAGCUUGUUGGUGGGGUAGUGGCUUACCAAGGCUUUGCCGGGUAGCCGGCCUGAGAGGGUGACCGGCCACAUUGGGACUGAGAUACGGCCCAGACUCCUACGGGAGGCAGCAGUGGGGAAGAUUGCACAAUGGGCGGAAGCCUGAUGCAGCAACGCCGCGUGCGGGAUGACGGCCUUCGGGUUGUAAACCGCUUUCGCCUGUGACGAAGCGUGAGUGACGGUAAUGGGUAAAGAAGCACCGGCUAACUACGUG
rnacentral:rRNA from 1 species